rnacentral:rRNA from 1 species
UACGUAGGGGGCAAGCGUUGUCCGGAAUCACUGGGCGUAAAGCGCGCGCAGGCGGCUGUCUACGUCUGGGGUGAAAGCCCAGAGCUCAACUCUGGGACUGCCUUGGAUACGGGAUAGCUUGAGGAUCGGAGAGGCAAGGGGAAUUCCACGUGUAGCGGUGAAAUGCGUAGAGAUGUGGAGGAACACCUGUGGCGAAGGCGCCUUGCUGGCCGAUUUCUGACGCUGAGGCGCGAAAGCGUGGGGAGCAAACAGG